rnacentral:tRNA from 1 species
AUCUUUAUAGCAAAUAAUUGCUUUGAAUUUAAGCUUCAACCAUAGUUUAUAACUUAAAAUUU